CAGAGAAACUUGCUCAUCAGUGGCAUGCAAAAAAGGAAAUUACAGAAGCCAGACUUCAUUUUUGUUUUUCGCCAUAGGAAAGGAGCUGGCCUUUUGUUGGGCAGUGAAAUGAUCUUAGAUGGUAUAAUUCAGAAGAUAUCUCUAAUAGAUGUCAAAUAGACAUAGACGUAUCUAAUCCAGCUAAUGAAGAUGGAUGUUAAUCUUCUGUUUUUUCUCAUAGCUGAGAGGGUGGAUCAACAUGUACCAACAUGAACAGAGGAAAACCUAUGUUCUGUAUUUAAGAAAAGUUUUCCAUCGAGUGUGUGGACAAUCCUGAUGGACUUCCUGGUAUAAUUGUCUAUGACGAUAAAACAUUCCCCAUUUCUUCUCAAGAAGAUGCCAUAGGGCUGGCUGCUUCUGAUGAUGGACAAGGCCCUUACAGUUCUGUAAGACCCUUCCAAGUCGCCCAUGCCAUGGACAGGGAUCCUCCAGAGACUGACAUUAAUUCACUAUACAGUCUUCAGGAGGAAGAGGAAGAGGAGGAGGAGGAGGAGAAUGAGUGGAGAAGUCAACAGCCAUCAGGCAUAAAUGCAACUUAUGUAUUUAAUGAAUUUCUGAUAUAUUAUAUUUUAUUUCACCACAUUUUUUUCUUUCUUUUUCAUUAUUGGGUUAUUGUAAUUGCUACAAUUAAUGGUGAGGAGCUGGUUUACUAUGUGAUCUGGAUAACUUUGCUUGUUGAGUUAAUCCCAGUAGAGUUAGUCAGGUAACUCAGACCUGCUUCAUGAAACCUGACUUUUUAAAUUGUGUAAGGGGUUAAAGGCCAAUUACAGCCUGUUUAUUGUGACAAACAAUUUAAAGUAUUACCUUUAAAGGUAGUGGGGCAUACAAAGCUCUCUGAGAUUAAAAUAGGUAAAUCUGUUAAAACAAUGAAACUCUAUGUCAAGAUACUAAUGUAAAUAAAUGUUGCUUGUAAUACCUA